CCUACGGGUGGCAGCAGUGGGGAAUAUUGCACAAUGGGGGAAACCCUGAUGCAGCGACGCCGCGUGAGUGAAGAAGGAUUUCGGUAUGUAAAGCUCUAUCAGCAGGGAGGAAAAUGACUGUACCUAACUAAGAAGCCACUGCUAACUACUUGCCAGCAGCCGCGGGAAUACGUAGGGGGCAAGCGUGAGCCGGAUUUACUGGGGGGAGAGGGAGCGGAGACGGACAGACAAGUCAGAAGUGAAAGCCCAGGGCUCAACCCGGGGACUGCUUUUGAAACUGCAGGGCUGGAGUGCAGGAGAGGGAAGCGGAAUUCCAAGUGUAGCGGUGAAAUGCGUAGAUAUGAGGAGGAACACCAGAGGCGAAGGCGGCUCCUUGGACUGUAACUGACGUUGAGGCUCGAAAGCGUGGGGAGCAAACAGGAUUAGAUACCCCAGUAGUC
rnacentral:rRNA from 1 species